UCCGGCUUUCACCGGCUGUCUGACUAGAGUGCCCACCAUGAUGUGCUGGCAACUAAUCAUAAGGGUUGCGCUCGUUGCGGGACUGAACCCAACAUCUCACGACACGAGCUGACGACAACCAUGCACCACCUGUCUCCACUGCCCCGAAGGGAAGCUCUAUCUCUAGAGCGGUCAGUGGGAUGUCAAGCCCUGGUAAGGUUCUUCGCGUUGCUUCGAAUUAAACCACAUGCUCCACCGCUUGUGCGGGCCCCCGUCAAUUCCUUUGAGUUUCAGCCUUGCGGCCGUACUCCCCAGGCGGAGUGCUUAUUGGGUUACCUUCGGCACAGAGGGCGUGAUACCCCCAACACCUAGCACUCAUCGUUUACGGCGUGGACUAC
rnacentral:misc_RNA from 1 species